CUUAGUUUUUAUAGUCUCCAUUUUCCCUACUCAUUUUGCUAAUAUCAAAAUCGUCUUUCUUCUCCAAUAAACUCUCAACACAUUAGAGGAUUUUGAUAUUAUGCUGCACUAAGAUUUUGGACUAUGACAAGUGAGGCACCAAAUUGGGCAUCAAAGAAGAACCGGAGAGAUCAAAGAAAUGCUGGAGGAAGAGAACAUCAAAAGUGCGGCAAGAAUUCCGGCAAGGUCAAAUCGGGACAUUUAUUCUUAAAAAAAUGAAAAGAAGACCCCUUUUUUCUCUCAAGAUCUUAAUCUAUCAUUGUAUUUGUUAUGAAUAACAUUUUUUAUAGUAAAGGUGUAAAAACCAAUACUUAGAAAAAGAAGAAAAAAAUCCAAAGCAAAAUUUACAUAUAAUCAGUCCAAAGCAACAUAAAAAAAUUCUCCAUAUUCAAAGAGCAUAGCAUAUAUGUACAUGAAAACACUUCAAAA